rnacentral:lncRNA from 1 species
ACCCUUCCCUGCUCCACGCAUUUGGUCAACAUAACAAUGGCAUAUACGUUUUUCUCCCAAACCAUACGCCAGAAAUCUUUCAAAGUGUUGGGUAAAGGUCCUUGUGUGGCAAUGAAAUCUUUCUUGGAAUGGUAGCCCUAGAAACAGACAGCUCAGUCACCAUCAAAGGCACAGACAGACACACUCCUCUUCAGAUGAACCCUGGGCCGUGAGAGCAGCCACCUACUUACAGGCAUAUAGUUGGCAUUGAUGUAGUCAUCUGUCGAAUGGGUCUGAACUGAAAGUUUGACUCGAGAAAUAUCAUCUGGCAGAACAUUGUUGUAGUGGUUCUUCCCUCUGUUCUCGGCUAUCUCAGCUGUGUAUUUAGGUAAACU